rnacentral:rRNA from 1 species
AAACUUUCAACAAUGGAUCUCUUGGUUCCGGCMUCGAUGAAGAACGCAGCGAAAUGCGAUAAGUAAUGUGAAUUGCAGAAUUCCGUGAAUCAUCGAAUCUUUGAACGCACMUUGCGCCCCCUGGCAUU